UACGUAGGGGGCAAGCGUUGUCCGGAUUUAUUGGGCGUAAAGAGCGUGUAGGCGGCCUGGAAGGUCAGCUGUGAAAACUCGAGGCUCAACCUCGAGACGUCGGUUGAAACCACCUGGCUAGAGUCCGGAAGAGGAGAGUGGAAUUCCUGGUGUAGCGGUGAAAUGCGUAGAUAUCAAGAGGAACACCUGCGGCGAAGGCGGGUUGCUGGGCCGACACUGACGCUGAUGCGCGAAAGCUAGGGGAGCGAACGGG
rnacentral:rRNA from 1 species